rnacentral:tRNA from 1 species
UCGCUGGUGGCUCAGAGGUUAAAGCGUCUGCCUGCAAUGCAGAAGACCUGGGCUCGAUCCCUGGACAGGGAA